rnacentral:lncRNA from 7 species
GGUAUGCGCCGGGCUGCGGCAGCGCGGCAAGGCGGGCGCGGCCCCCGGCAUCGCCGCGCCGUGGGAGCAGCACGCCAGCACUGUUUCCUAGAACCUGUCGCUUACUGUGCAGGCAGCACAGUGCUUGGGAAAAGCUUUACCUGGUGUUCAUCAUGAGUAGGAGUCGUCCCCACCUGUGAAGCCUGGGUUCCUGAUGGAGAAGUUGCUGAUCCUCCUCACCUGUGUCAUCUGAGUGGUUUAGAGGAAUCAUGCCAUCGGACACAGAUCAGUAAUGCUUGUUGCUUGAUCCAACUGCUGUAUAGCUGAUGAAUUCAUGGAUUUAAGACAAAUAAUCCGUAUUUCAUUACUAGCAAGUGCUAGAAAUAAAAAUGUACUCUGCACUAUUGCUUGGAAAAACAAAUCCUGAAGUCGUAAGAGAGGAUUAAAGUUGGAAAAAAAUCUCUCAAGAGAAAAACGAAGGGAGUAAUGACAUCUGCUUAGCAGCAUCCAGCCCCUCAGCCUGCAGCACGGACCUCUGGAGCCCUUACACACGGAAUAAAAGGGGAUGCAGUGAGUGAGGAGCAGCAGAACUGCAAGCAGAGCAGCGCUACUGGUGUAAGAUGGCAUUAGGAAGAGUGGAGUUUUGUUAAUGGGUCAUGGAAAGUAGGUUCUACCUCUCAUAAUGCAAACUGUCUUAUUUUUGUUUCAUUUCCUUCCCAGGGUGGUGUUCUACCAUGGCAGUAAACAAAGCCAUCGGUUGCAGACUUCUGCACCAAUUCAGGUGGCUCCAUUGAAGGUGUAAGAUUGGAGGUGUGAGGUUUCUCAGCAGUGGGACGUUACCACCUAGCUGUGAGCUGGCUUUGCUCUGGUGGGCGUCCUGCUGUUCCCCCACAGUGAGCUGUGUUCUGGUUCUGUUGGAAGGCUGCCCGGUCCUUCUGCCGGGUUUAUAUUCCACUUAAACGCGUGGCUAUUCAAGUGACCAACCUUUUGGAGUGUCUCGUUUGGCUUUGCCUUAAACGUUUGCUGCUCCUACCCCUUCCCCCCUUCCUACAGAGGCCUUUUUAUAGGUGGCCUGUAGUGCCAUAUAGUUUUUGCUUAGAGUUGAGCAUUUUCCUAAGCUUAUGGGGUUAACCACGAUUAUGGGAGAGUUCUUGAAGCAUUUUUGAAUGUAAUGCUUUUAUUUAAUGUUUGUAAGCAAGUUCAAAGGUGUCAGAUACAAAUGUCCCAGUAUGGCACAAGGACGAGACGUGGCAUUGGGGAUUGGGCUGUUCUGUUGCUAGUGCACACAAAUGUGGCAAUGAACUUUUUCCCUCGUGCUUUAGAGCAUUAAAACAGCUGUUUUGGAUCAGAGCAAAGUGGGCAGCAGCUGUGGCAGUGAUCUGCCUGUGAUUAGUGGGCUCAGGCACUCGUGGAGUCACAGAUGGGCUUUGUGCUCUUAAGGGCACUGUGCUUUUAGGGCUCCCGCUUUUGCACCAGUGUGCUUCUUAAAGUGCUAAAAGUUUUCCCAGCUGGAAGUCCUCACAGCAUCACACAGCAAAGAGCUCUGGGUAUCAGCAUCCACACAAAGGCACCGCGCAGUCCGCCUGUGUUCCAAUGGGCACAAACAGCACUGAUUGCGUAUUAAAGCCAUUGUCACCAUCACAACCUGGGAGGAGAGCAGAGUGCCAGGACGCUGCAGGACCCCGAAGAUUAUGUCUUAUAAAUAAACAGCUCAAAUUUGUCUGAAGCCUCAGCGUGCGAUGUAUGGAGCGUUGCAUUCUGACCGUGUUACGCCAAGAUUGCUGCUAAUGGCUUUUGGCAGCACAGCCACCAAGUCAGAAAGCUGAGAUGAUUGCAGAUUGUCUGCUUCCAUACACAUCAUACAGCUGCCUGGAAGACGGUGGAGGCAGCGCCUAAUUGAUGUUUGUUCUUGUCAAUGCGUGAUCGGGUUUUGAUGCAAGGUUCUCCUCUUUUGUGCUCUUCUGGUCAAAUUUUCGUUUAAAUUUGUAUUCUGUGCUGAACAGUAGUGCCAGCAGAACCAUAAGCGAGGAGUUUAAAUUUAGGAUGUGUUGCAGAAAUCCAAAAAUGCUUUACUGUUUGG